CCCCUAGAUGUUCUGGGCCGCACGCGCGCUACACUGAACAGUUCAACAAGUCUUAACCUUGGCCGAUAGGUCUGGGUAAUCUUUGAACGCUGUUCGUGAUUGGGAUAGACCUUUGCAAUUAUGGGUCUUCAACGAGGAAUUCCUAGUAAACGCAAGUCAUCAGCUUGCAUUGAUUACGUCCCUGCCCUUUGUACACACCGCCCGUCGCACCUACCGAUUGAAUGGUCCGGUGAAAUCUCAGGACGGCGGCUUGGUCGCUUGCGUCCGACUGCUGAAACUUGAUUAAACCAUAUCAUUUAGAGGAAGGUGAGGUCGUAACA
rnacentral:rRNA from 1 species